GUCCACGCCUUAAACGAUGGAUGCUCGAUGUCGGCCCGCAAGGGUCGGUGUCUAAGCUAACGCAUUAAGCAUCCCACCUGGGAAGUACUAUCGCAAGGUUGAAACUCAAAGGAAUUGACGGGGGCCCGCACAAGCAGUGGAGCAUGUGGUUUAAUUCGAUGCAACGCGAAGAACCUUACCUGGGUUUGAAAGGCAAGUGACAACCGAUGAAAGUCGGUCUCCCCGCAAGGGGCACUUGUACAGGUGCUGCAUGGCUGUCGU
rnacentral:rRNA from 1 species